AUGCCAAUAGUGGAUGAACUGCUGGAUGAGCUUAGUGGAACUAAAUGGUUCUCUAAGUUGGACCUCAGGUCUGGUUAUCAUCAAAUUAAGAUGAUACCAGAGGAUGAAUAUAAAACUGCAUUUAAAACCCAAAGUGGACAUUAUCAAUUCAGAGUGAUGCCCUUUGGUCUUACCAAUGCACCCUCCACAUUCCAAUGCAUUAUGAAUUGGAUUUUUGCUAAGCAUCUGAGAAAGUUUGUGCUGAUUUUUAUGGAUGAUAUUUUGAUAUACAGUGAAAAUUUAGAAGAGCAUUUGGAACAUCUCAGGAUUGUGUUACAAAUUCUCAGAGAGCAUCAGUUUUUUGUCAAAGGCACCAAAUGCAGUUUUGCUCAGCAGCAGUUGGAAUAUUUGGGGCAUAUUAUUUCUGAUAAAGGAGUGCAGACAGGCCUUGACAAGACUAUGGCUAUGGCUCAAUGGCCUACUCCCCAAACCACUACUGAAUUAAGAGGGUUCUUGGGACUCACAGGCUACUACAGAAAGUUUGUGCAAAGUUAUGGCAUUAUUGCCAAGCCACUCACACAACUUCUGAAGAAGCAGGCCUUUGUGUGGACUCCAGAGGCACAACAAGCAUUUGAGAAACUGAAAAUUGCCAUGAUGACCACACCUGUAUUGGUGCUGCCCAACUUUGAUCAACAAUUUUGCAUUGAAACAGAUGCUUGUGCUACAGGGAUUGGGGCUGUACUGACUCAGGGAGGUCACCCUGUUGCUUUUUACAGCAAGGCUCUUGGUGUGAAAAAUCAGUCCUUAUCCAUUUAUGAGAAGGAGUUUUUAGCUAUCAUGAUGGCCGUAGAGAAAUGGAGAGCCUAUUUACAAAGAGGUCCCUUUAUCAUCAAGACGGAUCAUCAAAGUUUGUGUCAAUUGGAAGAUCAGGUUCUCACCACUGAUGUGCAAAAGAAAGCAAUGACUAAGCUAGUGGGGCUCCAGUUCCAGUUCCAAUACAAAAAAGGAAGUGAGAAUUUAGCAGCUGAUGCUCUCUCCAGAGUGGGACAUUUGUUAGCAGUGACAACCACAUCUAGCAGCCAGCCUGUGUGGCUACAAGAAGUGAUCAAUUCUUAUGAAGUGGAUUCACAUGCUCAAGAAUUGCUACAAAAAUUAGCUAUUUCUCCUGAUGACACUUCAGAAUAUUCUCUGGCUAAAGGGGUGAUCAAACAGCAAGGCAGAAUUUGGAUUGGAGCUAACCAAGCUUUAAAAACAAAACUUAUUUCUGCAUUCCAUGCUAGUGCAGUGGGAGGUCAUUCUGGCAUUCAAGCCACUUACCAAAGAAUCAGGAAAUUGUUUGUGUGGACGGGGUUGAAACAAGACAUUAUAGAUUUUGUUCACCAGUGUACCAUUUGCCAACAGGCCAAACAUGAGCACCUCAAAUAA
rnacentral:rRNA from 1 species